UACACUCUUCAAUAUAAUAUAUAUAUGAAUUUUAUUAUACUAUGCUACAUAAUAAAACUUUUAACGGAUUUACAGGUUUCUGUUAUAUCUGUGUGAAACAUUGUUGUUGAACGCAAAAAGAUUAUUUGCGUACAGUUACUAUGAGGAUACGUCAGUGUUAUUCGAAAUAACAAUGUUAUAACAACGUUACGGAUUUGAGACACGAAUUUUCCGCACAAAAAGUUGUCAAAAUUAUCGUAAAAUUAUUGCGACUAGCUGAAUCUAACUUUCACGAGGCGAGUUGGAAUAUCCAAUAAUAAUGCUACGUAUUCUUGUCAGAUGCACCAAAAGCUGUCCUUUUCGCUAACGUUUUGGCUAACGAUAAGUUGUAAAACCGGGCUGGCUACGAACACACACUUUUUUGUCGCUUGCAUUGCGUUAAAUAUUUAAACAGACAUCCGAUGUUGUACGUAGCGAGACUGACAAGACCUUUUCCGCGCUACGCAAAUUAAGCCCCGAGGGUGUCGUCAAGGUGAAAAUUGGAGAGCACGAGCGA